rnacentral:miRNA from 1 species
UGUAUAUACCUGUAUAUAUGUGUGUAUAUAUAUAUACACUAUAUAUGUGUAUAUAUAUAUACACUAUAUAUGUGUAUAUAUACACACACACACACAUAUAUAUAUCCCCUAUAUAUAU